UAAUUGAUAUACGUUGUAGGAAUGAUUGAGAUUGGCAAGAUAAAAGCUGAUAAUUUAUUUUUGCAGAAUUAUUUGUUGGAUAUAAAUUCUUUUUUCGAAUGUUCUCAAGCAAUAUUUGUGGUUCAAAUCUCGAUUUUAUAUUGUUUUGUUUGAUAAAAGAUUCUGUGUUAUUUUUUGUAGCAGAAGUAGGAUAAUGCCCAUCAGAAGUAGUAUAGGUUUCAUAAGUAUCAAUAUUUUCACUGUCAUCAGCUUUAUAAAUUCCUGAAGGAGGUGCAGCAACUUGUACUUUCAAAGAUUCAGCUUCAGGAUUGUUUGUGUUUAUUUUACUUUCUUCUUCUAUUGCUAUCACUUCAUCUACUUUGCCAUUUAUAAGUGGCAAAGGAUUAAUUAAAUUUUUGUUAUUAUCAUUCUCUACAUUAUUUACAGAAGUGUGCCUCAUUUCAGAUAAUUUUACAAUUUCAAUUGGUUUAUCAUCGUUUGUAUCUUUUAUAUCUUUUGGAUACAAAGCAUGCUGUAUAUUUUCCUUUUCUUUCACAUCAUUUACAGGAAUGAAUUUCCGUAAUGUCGCUUUUUGGUCUGAAAAUAAAUUCUGACUUCU
rnacentral:misc_RNA from 1 species